AUUUUAGUGUACUAGAAGUAGGUGCAUAUAAUUCUCCAUCAUGAUUGAUUCUUAUGUUAAACGUUAAUAAGAUGUAUAUAUCGGUUUGAUCUUGGUGGGUGUGUAAUGCAUGGGAAUCUGUCGACCAGUUCGCUCCAAAUCUUGAAUAAUUCAUAAAGCAAGCUAAUUCGCAUUGUUGAAUGAGAUCGCAUAGUAUCAGGUACUUGGUUAGGUAAAGGAUAACCAAGCCAAUGAUGAUUAGCUGGUAUUUUUGGAUGAUCCUGCACAAUGGGACUGAGACACGACCCGGACUCCCUCGAGGGGCAACAGUGGGGAUUAUUGGACAAUGGGCUCAUGCCGGAUUCAUCAAUAUCGUGUGGGUGAAGAAUGGAAAUUUCUCUUGUAAAGAUAUUUACUCCUGUGGAUUUAUACUUCGAUCUGAAGAAUACUG
rnacentral:ncRNA from 1 species